GCCUGGGUGGCUCAGUCGGUUGAGCGUCUGACUUCAGCUUGGGUCAUGAUCUCACAGUUUGUGAGUUCGAGCCCCGCGUCAGGCU
rnacentral:tRNA from 1 species